GACGAACGCUGGCGGCGUGCCUAAUACAUGCAAGUCGAACGCACAGUUUAUACCGUAGCUUGCUACACCAUAGACUGUGAGUUGCGAACGGGUGAGUAACGCGUAGGUAACCUGCCUGGUAGCGGGGGAUAACUAUUGGAAACGAUAGCUAAUACCGCAUAAUAUUGAUUAUUGCAUGAUAAUUAAUUGAAAGGUGCAAUUGCACCACUACCAGAUGGACCUGCGUUGUAUUAGCUAGUAGGUGAGGUAACGGCUCACCUAGGCGAGGAUACAUAGCCGACCUGCGAGGGUGAGCGGCCACACUGGGACUGAGACAGGGCCCAGACGCCUACGGGAGGCAGCAGUAGGGAAUCUUCGGCAAUGGACGAAAGUCUGACCGAGCAACGCCGCGUGAGUGAAGAAGGUUUUCGGAUCGUAAAGCUCUGUUGUAAGAGAAGAACGGGUGUGAGAGUGGAAAGUUCACACUGUGACGGUAUCUUACCAGAAAGGGACGGCUAACUACGUG
rnacentral:rRNA from 1 species